rnacentral:rRNA from 1 species
AACUGCUUGGGAAACUGAUAGUCUAGAGUGAGGGAGAGGCAGAUGGAAUUGGUGGUGUAGGGGUAAAAUCCGUAGAUAUCACCAAGAAUACCCAUUGCGAAGGCGAUCUGCUGGAACUCAACUGACGCUAAGGCGCGAAAGCGUGGGGAGCAAACAGGAUUAGAUACCCUGGUAGUCCACGCCCUAAACGAUGUACACUAGUUGUUGGGAUGCUAGUCAUCUCAGUAAUGCAGCUAACGCAUUAAGUGUACCGCCUGGGGAGUACGGUCGCAAGAUUAAAACUCAAAGGAAUAGACGGGGACCCGCACAAGCGGUGGAGCAUGUGGUUUAAUUCGAAGAUACGCGAAGAACCUUACCUGGGCUUGAUAUCCUAAGAACCUUAUAGAGAUAUGAGGGUGCUAGCUUGCUAGAACUUAGAGACAGGUGCUGCACGGCUGUCGUCAGCUCGUGUCGUGAGAUGUUGGGUUAAGUCCCGCAACGAGCGCAACCCACGUAUUUAGUUGCUAACGGUUCGGCCGAGCACUCUAAAUAGACUGCCUUCGUAAGGAGGAGGAAGGUGUGGACGACGUCAAGUCAUCAUGGCCCUUAUGCCCAGGGCGACACACGUGCUACAAUGGCAUAUACAAUGAGACGCAAUACCGCGAGGUGGAGCAAAUCUAUAAAAUAUGUCCCAGUUCGGAUUGUUCUCUGCAACUCGAGAGCAUGAAGCCGGAAUCGCUAGUAAUCGUAGAUCAGCCAUGCUACGGUGAAUACGUUCCCGGGUCUUGUACUCACCGCCCGUCACACCAUGGGAGUUGAUUUCACUCGAAGCCGGAAUACUAA